rnacentral:rRNA from 1 species
AAAGAUUAAGCCAUGCAUGUCUAAGUAUAAAUAACUACACAGUAAAACUGCGAAUGGCUCAUUAAAACAGUUAUAGUUUAUUUGAUACAUUAAAUGGAUAACUGUAGGAAACUAGAGCUAAUACAUGCCAAGGUCGUAAGACUGCAUUUAUUAGAUAUACCAAGACGGUGAAUCAUGAUAACUUAGCAAAUCGAAACCACGUUUCGAUAAAUCAUUCAAGUUUCUGACCUAUCAUGCUCUCGAUGGUAGUGUAUUGGACUACCAUGGCAGUCACGGGUAACGGAGAAUUAGGGUUCGAUUCCGGAGAAGGAGCCUGAGAAACGGCUACUACAUCUACGGAAGGCAGCAGGCGCGUAAAUUACCCAAUCCUAAAUCGGGGAGGUAGUGACAAGAUAUAACAACGCGACUAAAAAUCGCGAUUGUAGUGAGGGUAUUCUAAACAUAGCUUCGAGUACGAUUGGAGGGCAAGUCUGGUGCCAGCAGCCGCGGUAAUUCCAGCUCCAAUAGCGUAUAUUAAAGUUGUUGCAGUUAAAAAGCUCGUAGUUUGGACUUCAAGAAGCGCAUCUGGGCAACCAGUAUGCCUUCUACCAGCCCUAGGCUGUUACUGUGAGAAAAUUAGAGUGUUUCAAGCAGGCUAUUGCAGGAAUACAUUAGCAUGGAAUAACGAAUGUGUCUACAAUUUGGUUGAUUGUAGGUUACAAUUAAUAGGGACAGUUGGGGGCAUUAGUAUUUAAUAGUCAGAGGUGAAAUUCUUGGAUUUGUUAAAGACUAACGUAUGCGAAAGCAUUUGCCAAGGAUGUUUUCAUUAAUCAAGAACGAAAGAUAGGGGAUCAAAGACGAUCAGAUACCGUCGUAGUCCUAUCUAUAAACUAUGCCGACUAGGGAUUAGUGCGGUCAGUACCGCAUUAGUACCUUAUGAGAAACCAAAGUCUUUGGGUUCUGGGGGGAGUAUGGUCGCAAGCCUGAAACUUAAAGAAAUUGACGGA